rnacentral:rRNA from 1 species
UACGGAGGUCUCAAGCGUUGUUCGGAUUCAUUGGGCGUAAAGGGCGCGUAGGCGGCGCGGUAAGCGUGCGGUGAAAGCCCGGGGCUCAACCCCGGGUCGGCCGUGCGGACUGCCGGGCUGGAGCACUGUAGAGGCAGGUGGAAUUCCGGGUGUAGCGGUGGAAUGCGUAGAGAUCCGGAAGAACACCGGUGGCGAAGGCGGCCUGCUGGGCAGUAGCUGACGCUGAAGCGCGACAGCGUGGGGAGCAAACAGG